CCUACGGGGGGCAGCAGUGAGGAAUAUUGGUCAAUGGGCGCGAGCCUGAACCAGCCAAGUAGCGUGAAGGAUGACUGCCCUACGGGUUGUAAACUUCUUUUAUAUGGGAAUAAAAUGUUCCACGUGUGGGAUUUUGUAUGUACCAUAUGAAUAAGGAUCGGCUAACUCCGUGCCAGCAGCCGCGGUAAUACGGAGGAUCCGAGCGUUAUCCGGAUUUAUUGGGUUUAAAGGGAGCGUAGGUGGAUUGUUAAGUCAGUUGUGAAAGUUUGCGGCUCAACCGUAAAAUUGCAGUUGAAACUGGCAGUCUUGAGUACAGUAGAGGUAGGCGGAAUUCGUGGUGUAGCGGUGAAAUGCUUAGAUAUCACGAAGAACUCCGAUUGCGAAGGCAGCCUGCUGGACUGUAACUGACGCUGAUGCUCGAAAGUGUGGGUAUCAAACAGGAUUAGAUACACUUGUAGUC
rnacentral:rRNA from 1 species